UGCAGUUGUGUUGUCCUUUUCUCAGGCAUGU
rnacentral:piRNA from 1 species